CACGCCUAUAAUCCUAGCUACUCAGAAGGCUUGAAUCGCUUGAACCCAGGAGGCGGAGGUUGUAGUGAGCCGAGAUUGCACCACUGCACUCCAGCCUGGGUGACGGAGCAAGACUUUGUUUCAAAAAAAAAAAAAGACUCCCAAUUUCACAAAAGCCAAAAACAAAAAAAAUGGCUGAGGACCUUGUCUCUAGUCCCAGCUACUUGGGAUACUUGGGAGGCUGAGGCAGGGUCACUUGGGCCCAGGAGUUCAAGGCUGUGGUAGCUAUGACUGCACCUGUGAAUAGCCACUGCACUCUACCCUGAGCAACACAGCAAGACCCCAUCUCAAAAAAAAAAAAAAAGACUGAGGUGAAGAACUGUUCCAGAUUAGACUAAAGAAAGAUAAGAACUAAGUGCAACAACUGAUCUCAGAUUGGCUCCAGGAUUGCGGGGAAAAAAAAAAAAAAGCUAGAAAGGACAUUAUUGACCAGGCACAGUGGCUUACACCUGUGAUCCCAGCACUUUGGGUGCCUGAUGCAGGCAGAUCACUUGAGUCCAGGAGUUUGAGACCAGCCUGGGCAACAUGGAAGUAUGAGGAGUGAAGAGUCUCAUGUCUGUGACUUACAAAAUGACUCAACAAAUAAUUAUAUCACUAUUACUAUUACACAGAUACACAUAUUUUAUAUAUAUAUAUAUAUGAGAGAGAGAGAAAGCAAAUGUGACAAAAUGUUCACAAGUGGUAAAUUUAAGGAAACAGGUAUAUUGAUAUUCAUUAUUCUCACAUAUUUUGCAACUUUUCUGUAGGUUUGAAAGUUUUUAAGGAAAAAAAGAAAUACAUAGGAGGUGGAGGUGCUAUGACUUGGUAACUAACUUCCUGGGGGCCAUUAAUCAAUCUGUGGUGGAUGAUGAUACCUUGGUCUGAGAGGUAGAGGAGAGCAGAAUCUGAGGUGGGGAGCAGAGGCAAACAUCAGGUUUGACAUCAAUUGAACUGAGGUGGGAGGUGAUGAGACACCAGGUGGAGACUGUCAUGAGGGAGCAGUAUGAAUUAACAGGGGUCAGGAACAAACUGAGAUGCAGAUCUGCAGGUUGGCAGUCUAUGGGUGGUGGCUGAAGCCAAGAGCUUGUGAGAUCACCUAGAGGGCAGGUGUGGAUGGGCCCAUAUUCUUGGGCUCACUUGCACUUAAGAUCUGGGUGCAGAAGUAAGAAUCAAGCAAGAAUGGUUACGCUCAUGAGCAAACCAGCUAUUUCAUUCAGGGUUCCUAUAAAAAUAACCAUUAGACUUGCGAUUUUCUACCACUUUAAAUCUCCUCCUAGAGACACUCUUGUAUUGGUUAACUUCUCUCCAGGUGGGGGAUUACGAGGCUUUUGUCAACAUCUUCCUUGGGAGCGUGAUAUGGUAAGAAGCCUACAAAUACAUUUGUGAUAUAAGCAUGCAAAACAGAGGUACACUAUAUGCUACAAUUAGAACUACGAUCCUCCCAGGUUAAUUCAUUCCUGAAAACAAUUCUCAGAUCAAAUAAGCCCAUAUGAAGUUAUUUUAAAUGAGAAAAUAGGAAUGUAUUCCUAGCCUGUGCAGAAACUCCAGUUUCUCCAAAUAUCACUAAAACCCUCUCAAACAUCUAUAAAACAAUCCUCCAAACAUUUCUGCAUAAUAUAAACAUUUAAACAUGAAUUAUCUAAUUAUUUAACACUUAAUGAACUCCAUGGUGAUUACGUUUGCAAUAGUACACAAUGAUAUGCACUCUAUUGAAUGAGAAUUAGAUAUCCUCCCCAACCUGCAACUAACAUGUACAGUAAAGCAAACAACAACAUAAUAGUGAGUUAAAGAUAGAUAAUUAAAUGCAACAAGAUUUAGCAAACUGAAAUGGACAAAUGGGAUUUUUUUUUUAAUGGCUACUUGCCGAAUGAUUCUGAUAAUGGAGCACUGGGGCAACAGACAACCCUCCCAUUAGUGAUAAUUAGAAAAGUGGGCAAAAUAUACAAAAUAUCUACUCAAAGAUAAGAGAGCACUAAUGAGGUAGUAAAUACCUACCAGGUCAAUGUCCAAGAGAACAGAGUAUGUAAGAGAGUGAGCCCAUCAGCAGGACUGUUUUACCCCAAGGGCUACUUGGUGAUUCCAGAACAGGUGGCUGAGAGCCUAAGCAGUACUUGUUUUGUUUUUUUUUGUUUUUUUUUGAGAAGGAGUCUCACU
rnacentral:lncRNA from 1 species